UCGGGUUCAUGCCCGGCGCGUGCUGAUCCACUGAUCGAUUCUUUGACUUAUUACUUUGUGACCACUCUUACAAAACGUAUUUCUGGCAGCAGUAUAAACAUACUUGGUAAGUAUACCACACGUAUAUGUACGUACACGAAAAGGAAAAGGUAGACGAAUAGAUGCAGGAUGAUGUAGGUUCUUUCGUUGGUGGAUGGAGCACGGUUUCGUCGGGGAAUAAUAAACGGGCUAACAAGAGGCGUGUUGACGAUCGACACGGUUCGUUGGAUUUUUGUGUGUGUGUCGCGGUCAGUGACUCGACGAGCAACUGGUGAUGAUGGGGUUUAUAACUAGUGGAGAGUUAGGAGGGAGUGUAGACGUAGUCUGACUUGACCCGUCCGGGGAGCCGCGGCGCCAAAGUCAUUGUGAGCUUUUGGGGCUUAGACCGGAUGGUUGUCGAUGUUGUAAUUAUUACACUUUUGCUUGGGUGCACCUCCUAAUACAACUACGGUCGAGAUGAAUUAAUACAUCUUCAUAAUAAAGGGCAGGAUGGUUCAGCGAAAUGUCUGCGACGUACAGACGCCGGGGUGACGUGUCGUCAGCGCGCCCACUGUCAUGACGUGGCACGUCCACGUCGUCAUGCGACGGUUCGAGUUCGUCCGUCGAUUCCCGAGGCCUGCCGCGUCGUCGGUUCCCGAGGCCGCCGCCUUCAAUCACGCAACCGCGUCGCCAGUUUUCAUCGAUUCCCGAGGCCGACGCCAGUUCGUCCCGUCGUUUCGGAGAGCAGUUAAUACCGACCGCGUCGUCACUGUCCCGUCGUUUCGCCGUCUCUCG
rnacentral:lncRNA from 1 species